CAUAUUAUAUUAUUUAUACCACGUCGGCAUUUCAAAUGAAAUGAAAUAGCAUUCCAGUCACAUUUAGGUUAUUCAAAGAAAAGUCAUUUUCAUAUUACCUUAAGUAUAUACUUUCAUAAUAUUUUUCGCAAAGAAAUCUGAAUUCGUAUCGUGGUAGUUUUUCUUAUGAUGACCUAUAUUUUUAAUUUUGCGUGAGCUGAAGCGGGAUAUUUUUAUUUCGACCUAUAAAUUAUGAUAUGAAUACAUUAAAUUAAUCAUUAAGUAUAUACUUUGUAAUCAUAUUCGAAAGUUUAGAUGAGCGGUGUUGGACAGAGUAAUAUUUUGCGAGCUAUUUCCCUCUCGCCUUCCCCUUUGACCGCUUUCAUUAAACGCUUCCUGCUCUAGUCUGCCUAUACCUACCGUCCUCGCGGUCGCACUCAACUGAUAAUAAUUUAACUAAUUAAUUAAUCAAUAUAAUAUUAGAUAUGCAAUAAUAUGCUGCGGUAGCUUAUGCAGUCGGCCGUCGUCCGUUUGCACAACAACCAAAGAUCAUACGCCGCAACGAGGCAACGGAGAAAAUAACAACUUGUAUAAUAUAAUAUUUUACAAACUAUUUAUGAUAAUAAAAUUACAUUAUGCGUUACACCUAAGUCGAAUAUACAUUGUAUAUUAUCAUAAUCGCGAGUAAAGCUCAUAGACUACAGCUCGGCGAUCGAUCAGCGGCCAUAGCCGUCAUAACCGGAAACGUUUUUAUUUCGUGCAAUCUGUACAUACACCAGCCGAGAAGUCGAAUCACCGUCUUCGUUGGCGAGUUGUACUAGCCGACUCCGUUAGUCGCAACUAUAUACCAGCAGCUGCGGGCUGUACGCGCAUCGCGUCAGUAACCUAAAUAUACCACUGUACCAGGCUAGUAUAUCGGCCGUCAUGGAUAAACGCGAUUUGGCCGACGACGCAACGACGAACUCGUCGGACCGCAAACAACCGCUCAGGACGACCGUCAGCAUGCCGAUACUCGGGCAGAGGACGGCAACGAAUAACGACGAAAACCGGCGCGAGAGACGUCCGCUGGUGGGCAAAAUGGAUGAGGUCUCUGCACUGCCCGACGGCGGAGACGACGAAGAUCUGCCGAGGCCUGCUCUGACCAAGUCGACAAGCUGCUAUCAAGUGCAGCCGUCGUCCAACAGCAAACCGUCCCGGGCCCACGACCUAUGAGACUUUUAUCCGGCGACUCGUCGACGUGAUAUCAUAAUAAGAAUAUGAAUUAUAUAGACAUAUAUUAUUACGAUACGAUGUAUAAACAACGAAAAAAAAAUAUUAAUAUAUAUAACCUGUAAGCAAUAUAGGUUCAACAAACAAAAUCUGUCGAGUUUUUAUUUAUUUCUAAGCUCCGCCGUUUCCCGACGAUAUCCAUCCAAGGACGGGCGUACCUACUCCAACCCCAUCCGUUUCGUAUUUCACAAGCAUUUUUUCACGCAAUUAAUUAUAGAGAAUUGAAUUUUCCGGGUUAACCGACGAAGUUCAAAUUAAGGUAACGGUCUUAAAAAUUUAUUCGAGUGCUAAACAUAUUUGCUUGGAAAAAUGUACGAAAUUUGAAAUGGGUGGGGAAAUGUGUACCAACCAAUGUGUUCAUGGAGGAUUCGUUUAUACUUUUAUACAAUAGUACAAUACGAGUAGUAGGUACCUACGAGUCCGGCUUGCGUAGGUAUUAUAGAGUAGAAUCUAUCUAUAUAAUAAUAUUCACACUAUGCAGUCAACAUCUAUGGUUGUAACUAUUGGUAUGGAGGAGAGGUUCGAAGGGCUUAGCCCUAAAAAUACAAUUUUCCUACCAAAAGCAACAACUGCAGAUAUCGCUCGACCAGUAUAAACAAAAAGAAGAAAAGCGUGAGUUGAUGGACUUUUUUAUUCAAAUGGUUUAUAAACCAUUAUUAAUGCACUAUACAGUUAUAAUAGUAUAUUAGGUAAUAUGGUCUAUGAAACCAAGUACAACCGUAAAAAUGAAUUGUAAACUAUAGGUACCUACUGAGAGGUUAAUUUUGAAAUAUUUCCGAAUUGGUCACCUUUUGCGCAAUUAUAGGAUCGGAAAUCUCAUUGUACAUAAUAUUAUUAUUAUAUAGUUAGGCGCUGUGCAAACACAUUUUUAUCUGCAGCUGUUAUUGUCGAACUUGACUUUUAGGUGGAUGAUACAAAACUAUUUGCAGACUACGGACCUUUAACCGAUGAUAGAUUGCUUUAAUAAUUAUUGGCCGAUGUAGGUAUUAAAAUAAUUAUAUUAUACACUUAUCUCGUACCUACGUAUCGAACAUUCGUUGCGUUUUAAUGAUACGAAGACUGGUCGACCUCUGUAUAGCUGUAGCCCACGAUUCGAAAUAUUAUUAUAUUAUAUUCGCUUAUUCACGAUAUUUCAUACUUCACGUUUAAUAAUUUAAUAAUUUUGAUUAGUUCGGCAAUUUGGCAGUACGGCCAAAUUGUUCACGGUGGCACGAAGUGUACCAAAAAAUAUUGUAAUAAAUAAUAAUAUUUCAUGUCUGUGUGAUAGCGCAAUGACAAGUAAGACGUCCCAUUUUCCCGGCGCCACCAGCUCAUAUAAUGUACAAGUACGAUAACAUAUUAUACCUAUAAUACCGAUAACAUCAUUUUGGCAGCGUGCAACGUAGCCAGCAGACUGCCAGCGAGACUCUACCUAUUUAUUAGUUGUAUAAUGACAGUACAAGUAUUAUGAUAAUAUAUUAUGUUAUCGUUAAAUUUAAAUUUAAUUACGUUUUUUUUUUUAAAUUAUAAUAUUUUUCUUUUUUCGGAGAUUUAUCCUAAAUAAGGUUUGGACCGAAUCGUUUGGUAUAAUACCGUGUGUCCGCAAGAGAAAGGUUCGCACUCUGUAUAACUAUCGCAGUUACUUACAUUACACGCAGUACCCUAUAUACAUACUUUUGAAUUCUGGACAUGAGCCCAAACUAUAUUGGAUCAUAAAUUCCUAUAACUUACGAUUGUUUAACUCUUGUAAUUUGCGCAUGCGCAACAACUUCACUUUUUCUGUGUACCUACCUUGUUUUCGUGGACAGACGGUAUAGUCUUGCAGUUUCCAAUAUUUUCUACACUCCUCAUCUAGUAUAAUAUUUGUGUUAUUAUUAAAAAAAAACAAAUCAAAUCACAAACGAUGAUUUUUCUCAUUAAAACUUAUUCACCUAUACAUAUCAUUAUCAUUAUUAUAAUAUAUUAUACCGA